GAGUUUGAUCCUGGCUCAGAACGAACGCUGGCGGCAGGCCUAACACAUGCAAGUCGAGCGCUACCUUCUGGUGGAGUGGCAGACGGGUGAGUAACGGGUGGGAAUCUACCCAGUUCUAAGGAAUAACCACUGGAAACGGGGAGUAAUACCUUAUACGUCCUUCGGGGGAAAGAUUUAUGGGAAUUGGAUUAACCCGCGUUAUAUUAGAUAUGUGGGGGGGUAAUGGCCUUCCAAGUCUUCGAUCUAUAACUGGUUUGAGAGGAUGAUCAGCCUCACUGGGACUGAAACACGGUCCAGACUCCUACGGGAGGGAGCCGUGGGGAAUUUUUGACAAUGGGAGCAAGCCUGAUUCUAGCAUGCCGCGUGAAUGAUGAAAGCCCUAGGGUCGUAAAGGUCUUUCAACUGUGAAGAUAAUGACGGGUUCUCUACAAGAAACCCCGGCUUACUUCGUGCCAGCAGCCGCGGUAAUACUGAGGGGGUUAGCGUUAUUCGGAAUUACUGGGCGUAAAGCGUACGUAAGCGGAUUAAUAAAUUAGAUGUGAAAUCCCAGGACUCAACCCUGGAACUGCCUUUAAAACUGUUAGUCUUGAGAUCGAGAGAGGUGAGUGGCAUUCCUAGUGUAGAGGUGAAAUUCGUAGAUAUUUCGAAGAACACAGUGGCGUACGCUGCUCACUGGCUCAAUACUGACUCUGAGGUACGACAGUGUGGGUAGCAGACAGGAUCAGAUACGCUGGUAGUCCACGACGUAAACGAUGAGUGCCAGACGUCAGCAAGCAUGCUUGUUGGUGUCACACCUAACGGAUUAAGCAUUCCGCCUGGGGAGUACGGUAGCAAGAUUAAGACUCAACGGAAUUGAGGGGGAGCAGCACAAGAGGUGGAGCAUGUGGUAUAUUUCGACGCAACGUCGCAGAACCUUGCCAACCCUUGACAUACUUGUCGCGGAUUCCAGAGAUGGAUUCGUUCAGUUCGGAUGGACAAUGUACAGGUGCGUCAUGAGAGUCGUCAGCUAGUGUCGUGAGAAGUUCGGUCAAGUCCGGCAACGAGCGCAACCCACGUCCUUAGUUACCAGCGUUUAUUUGGGUGCCCUAACGAGACUACCGGUGAUAAACCGGAGGAAGGCGUGGACGACGUCAAGUCAUCAUGGCCCUUGCGGCAUGGGCGACACAAGUGCUUCAAUGGCAUGUACAGUGAGUUCAUCUCCAAAAGAUGUCUCAGUUUGGAUUGGGGUUUGCAACUCGACCCCAUGAAGUAGGGAUCGCUGGUGAUAUCGGAACAUGCACGUGGCGGUGAAUACGUUUCCGGGCGUGGUACACACCGCCCGUCACACCAUCGGAAAUGGGUCUACAAGAAGGUGGUGCGCCAACUAUUUAUAGGGGCACGCCAACCACGGUAGGUUCAGUGACUGGGGUGAAGUCGUAACAAGGUAACC
rnacentral:rRNA from 1 species